CACAGGGAGAGGUCCUGCAUCAUCCCAGCUGAGGCCAUUCUAGAUCAGCCAGCCACUAACCAACUCUCAGGCUGAGUGUAGACGCAUGAGCAAGCCCAGCUGAGCUCAGUGGAGACCAGUCCAGAUCAGCAGAAAUGGCCACACAAACCAAGGACAGGAAGAUCAUUCUCAAGCCUGCUAUACCCAGGAGGAGGAUGAGAGACAGAUGGAGCAGACACCCCCGGUCAGAUCCAGAUGCCUAGUUUUAUACUAUCACAGGCAACUUCUCCAAAUGGAAUCUUUUGAUGUAGGACCCAUCCUUUGGUUUCAGAUAAUACUGAGCAGCUCAUUGAUUUCCAGGCUCCAAAUUUCUGGAGUUGCCUCUCACAACAAGGACAUUGACCUGUCAUUAUGCAGGAAUAUUGCCAGAUUUAUAUAAUAGAAUUUAAAAGUGUGCAUACACUUCAAGCCACUUCUACAUGAGCAGAGGGAAACUAUCCCAAGGGCGAGGUUGGCAGUGAACAUUUCUGUGUCCCCUAACCCCCGCCACCCCACUUUCAUUUUUGCCCUUCUUUCAUCCUUCAAAGUGACCCUAUUCUGCUUUUUAUUUUCUGGAUGCUUGAUGUAAAAGAGGCAUUAUGGUUUUCAUGAUUGAAUAACAGUCACAAAUUUCCAUUUCACUUUACUUACCCGCUUAGAUGUAGUUUAAUGCAGCAUGACUAGAAUUCUCCCAGAGGUGGAUCUGAGCUGAACUGACUAGGUUUCUGACUGCCAACUCUUCUGCACACUAAAAUAGCAGCGUAACCUAUUACACACAUUUGUUAUCUGUUACUAAGAGAAAAUUACCAACCCACCCAGAGAAACAAAAAUACAUCUGAUCAUGGGACUUCUCCAAAGGGCAGAAAACCUGUUAAGUUUUACAUCAGAGUGAGCACGCAGACUCUCAAAGAAAGGUAAAUGUUUCCAAACAACCAAAACAAAAGACUUCAUGGAAGCCAUAUUUUUGUUUUCCAAAUUCAUAAAAAAAAAAAAGUGCCUGGCUUAAAUACUUUACAAGUGGUUAGUUCUAGCUAAGAAUAUAUUUCUCUCAAGUUUGCAAAUAGAUAUCUUUAAGACAGCAAUUCUCUUCAGUAGACAUUUCUUCAGUGUUCAUGUGUACAGAACCCUGUGGAGGACUUAACUGACCUACAGGAGAUCCAAUAACAUCUAAGAGGCCAACCCUGCCCGGAGGAGACUUAGUGUCCAGAGCAAUGUACUACCUCUGGAGUAGGCGCCUCUUAAAUGGGGGUAGUACUUCUCUCCCAUCAUCAAAAAAUCUAGAAACAAUUCAUGAAAUAUUAUUACCCUCUUUUCUCAACAUUAUUCAUCAGCCUUGGGCCUGGCGUUGAUUUCCAUGAUUAAUUUAAGGGGGGGAAGAAAAUAGAUAAAUGGAUGUGAAACUUGUAACUUUGGUUUUGGCCUUUAAUAGUCAGAUAAAGAUUUUGAACAAAGUGGACAAUAAUUUACUGUAAGGAAUAAAGUCCUAUCGAUCUUGCCAUGGAGUAGGAACGAAGGAUUCAGGGCUAUCCAUAUGUAGUCAUUUGGAUAUGACAAGAUUGGAACCUAUUUAUAACUUUUAAAGUAUCUUAUGGCUCUUUCUUUCCAAAGAAGCACACAUCAUAUUGCACGAGGUCUGUGAAUACACAAGCGUUCUCUGACAAAAGCAGCUGAGAAAGCAAAAGGAUUACCCAAGUAUUGUUUUUCAAACCUGAAUUUGUAAUGGGUAAUUAUACAGAAAUAUUUGGUACUUAAUAACCUUGAAACUUUGAAUUCAGAAAGAUUUUAUGCCCCCAAGGCUACAUGGUCUGAUGGUGUAGGUUCAUAAAUCCAAAGAGAAUGGAUCUGGCUAUUGUUAACUGUACCCACCUUUGUGCAGAUGUCAAACAGACCCAGUGUCAGUAACGCCUGGCCCUAGUCCAGUGCCUGCCUGUGGGGGGCGCUCGAUGGUUUGUCAAGCAGAACUAGGUAUGAAUUAUGGCUUCUGUUUAAAUUGGUUUGGAAAAUAAGGAGUCUCCAUUCCUCUUAACCUUUGGUUUCAGUGAAUCACAUAACACCAGAUUAUUAAUAACGCUUUAAUUAUCUCUGGAGUUCAAAAUCAGGGAUAUCCAGGUAUCAUGGCAUACAAAAUGCAGGAAGUUUCAAACCAAGCUAUAAAUUUACUGUUGGAUUGAAUGAAUAAAAGCACACCAGGCAGGAGUUCCAUGGGGUAACAUGGGGAGGGUGGCUGCAUUAUUUUCUCUGGGACCAUGGCAGGGAAGCAUCACAUUUCCAGGAGCCGAGUUCUACGACACAGCUAUCCCAGUGUAGGAUCAGAAUUUCCUUGUAGAGCUCACCACUUUACCUAGUGAACGUUGGAGCUGCUGGCUACCCUCCCAGACACUCUUCUUCUCUCAUCACAGUCCCUCUGGGGUGGGCUUCCUGAAUCCGGGUAGGAAGAGAAGUGUGACAGCCAAAGUCACUCUUUUCUGUAAGUAGCUUCCCCUCACAAAGAUGUUUUGCCUGAGCCUCAUCUAAGUGCAGUAAUUCUUAAGUGACACCAUAAGAUGGAUGUUGAAUAUUAAAAAACACACCUCUGUUUCACGGCCUGCUUUGUUUUUCUAAUUUAUAAAAAUCAUCUUUCAUCGUACCAGUACACAGGGUUCCUUUUAAACCUGUAUUUUACUUAAGCAAUGAGGAGAGAGUGUUUACAGUUUCACUUUCUGGCUCUCAUAUGCCUAUAAAAUAUUUUUGUUAAAUUGGAUUUUAAAAACUUUUUUUUCAGGAAACUUUAGAUUUAUUUCUAUCUCCCAUUGGGGGUUCAAACUUAAAGAAACUGAUGACCUCAAAGGGCCAACCUCAUGCAGAUGUCAGCAAGAUGAAAAACAGAAUUUAACACUCUGCACAAGAAUAUUUGCAUUCCCAUUAGUUUUUGCAAACGCAAUAUAUCUCAUCCUCUUGGGCUGAGUGCAAAGACGCCCUGGAAAGAGGAACAGAAGUAUAUGCCUGUCUAAUAGGUUAACAUACUGAACUGAUUUAAAGGGAAUAAAUGUUGUGGCUCAGGGGAAAUUACUGGGCAAUUCAGUGGGCACUUCUCAUGGAAAUGACUUAAAAGCACAUGUGUACCAACAGUUGGGAAGGGGGAGCGUUCUGUUCACAUUAAAUAUCUUCAUCCAAACCUCAAAUACGACCAUGAUUUUACAGCCUAAUUGAAUGUACUCUUGAUAAAAAGAAGUUGCAAAAAGCUGAUAAAAAAAUAAACAUAUACUGGCUGCACUGAAGUCUGUAUUUCAACAAACGCUUUAAAGGUUUGCUGGUGGAAACCAGUGAUUAUGUAACAAGCGGAUUUCAAAAAUUACACCUCUUACAAUUACUGUACAUCCUGAUAAAACAGUUGAGGUCAAGUCACUAAACAUUCUUCCAAUUCAAAUAGAAGGAAAUAGAUUAGCUCUUUGCUUAGGGGAAAAAAAAAAGAGAGAGAGAAUUUAUGAUGAGAAAUCUGUCCUAAUCUUCCCAAAUAGGGAGGAAUAAGUUAAGGAGCAAACACAAAUUUGGUGACUGUGAGAUGAAGAACUAAUUUAUGCUCGUUUGAAAUAGAAGGCAGUGUCUGAUAGACAGGUGUCUACGAUUACUUAGCUUGG